UUUCACAAGUUUUGGUCCAGUGGCACUACAGUGGGGCUUAGGAGGUGACGAUUACAUCAUGGUCUCAAAGGUGUGGAUGGCGCUGGCCUGGAGCAUCACAGAACCAAGGCUUUUAGGGACUCUUUAGCACCCCUGGAAAGUUCGUGAUGGUGUUAAGGAGUGCAGACAGAGCAGACGCCAAAAUCAGAGACCUCUGCUACAGACUUGGGUUCGAAUCUUACCGCCGCCCUGACCAGGACUCUUCCUAACAGAGUUCCUCGGAAACCACGCCACAGCCCUGCGUGCCAAGCAAGGAUACCGGGUCCUCUUCUGGGAUUCUAGGCAGUGCUUCUCGCUUAGGCGCCAGGUCCGCGAUCGCGCCUCCGACCGUCGCGCGCCUCGCCACUGGCCAGCGUUGCUAUGGCAGCGCCGCAGGCGGGGAUGCUGAGGCUGAGGAUCGCAGUAGCCCCUUUGUGAGGCGCGGGGGGGGGGAGAUGUGCACCCCACAUCUCUCUGCUCGAGUCCCGGUCUGCAAGAUGGGUGCUUGUCCGUGCGCCCCACCCCACCCCCACGCCCGAGGCCGGGUGCGGCACCUCCGCCCGCUAGCCGCUCCUGCAUUAAAAUUUCAUGGGCGCUGCAGUAAACGCGAAGACGAUGCCGGCUGCGCUGGGGGGCCGUAGGGAGGGAGGCUGCGGACCAGAGCGGGGAGGAGUUUGCGAGGGGAGGCGCUUGGGAGGACUCCCCCAGUUCUGUUAAGAGCUGGGCACAAAGAGCCCUUUGCACUCCAGCCGCAGGAGCGAAGAGGAGCCGAGCUAGAUGCACAUGGGCGUGGGGACUUCCGUACACACCAACCCACAAGUCCUGGGGCGUCCAGCGCAGCCUCAAACCCAGGGCAUCUCCGCACUCUUAUUGCGACACCGCUCUGGAUGCUGUUUGCAUAUCUCUCUCUGGGGAGUCACUGCUUUGGCACGACAGUCCCGCGAGGUGCUGGAGUCCUGUCUGUCCUCAUCACACGGACAUGGCUGACCUGUCUCAGUAGUACCCGGGGGCGAAGCAGGGAGCUGGGCGGUGGAGGCCAACGACUUUACCAAGUUGGCUCUGUCACAACACAGGGACCGAGCCUCCUGAGCCUCAAGAUUUCCGGCUGGUACCCAGGUGGCAGAAGAGCGGAGGGAUUUGGAAAAAGACGCCGCUACCCUGCAAAGCAGCCUUGCAGAUAAGUAUCAUUUCACCAGCCCGCCUGCUCUCUGCUGGUGCGUGUGAGAAAGGUUCAGCUCUGGAACCCGGGACGGGAGGGUGGAUGGGCUCAUCCUGUGACUCUGGCUCUUGAAGAUGCCAUUGGUCAGCUUGAACAGGCUCCUUGGUCUUGCAGACACGGGGGGGGGGGACCUCCUCAGGGUUCCUCCACUCAGGAUCCUCCAGGAUCCUGGGACAGGAGGCUCUAAGAGCAGCUACGAGAUGUAUCGCCUUCCCUGGCUCGGGGUUUGGAGCACAGAUGUAGCAUGACUGUUAGGAAAGAGCCAACCUGAGUCCUGGUGUGACAUGCAGGCACUCCCUUCUCUCUUCCACCACCCCGGUGACUUGCAGUGGUCCACACAAGCCCUGCACCUUUUGGCCACCUGUUUCUUUGUUGUGGGGGUCACAGGAAGGAAGGGACUGAGAUGGGCAGAGGGCUGCUCUCAUUUCUCAACCAGGCCUUGAAUGGCCACCCUUGUGGGUCAGGGCAGGGAUCAGAGAGAGGCACAGGCUCCCAGCCACCAGGAUAGUACUAAGCUCAGAGUUUCAGAUCCCUCUCCGUCCAGCACCCCCCACCUCUGUUGUCCCCUAUUUGCCCAGUUUGCUCUGAGUUUUCCUGGGUCACACAAGAAUCCACAAUGCUCUAGUUGACAGAGAAGGAGGAAGCAGAUGGCUCCUGAGCCAAGGCAGGGCUUGGGCCUGGUCAUCUCCUAGGGUGCAUCCUGUGUGUGUGUUGGGGGGGGGGGGAGCGGGUGGCUGGCUCUUCUGUCUUCCAGAGUCAUCCUGUGAUGUCUGUGUGCGGGAGGCGCUAGGCUCUAGGCCUUCCAUGAUGUUGAUGAUGUAAUGAUGUCAGGUGGUGCUGCUGGCCAUCCAGGGGUGAACGCCAGAGAGAUGGCCCCACCUUCUAUGAUCUUCAAGUACGAAAACCCAUCACCACAGCUCAGCAAGCGGACAGCUCUGUGCAUCUCCAGACCCUUAUCUGUCUUGGAGCCCCCGGGAUCCCUUGGAUUCUGACCUCCUGGAACUGGGGAGCAACCUGUCUCCCUGAAGACCCUCUCCUUCCCAGUACCUGAGAUGGAGCCUGCCUCCCCCCGAAGAAGAGCCAUUCCUGAAGAUGUACUACUGAGGAGUCACCCUGCUUUUUUCAUGGACAGCUCCAGGGGGUGGGGGGAGGCUGCAGCUUAGAACCCAGGCACCGGGAGGCCUCUCCUCAUCUCAUGUGGACUGGAAUCCUCCAGUCUCUGGAGAUGGGGUGGAGCUAGGCCCCCUCCUGGCCACAGGGUGGUGUCUCAAAGGACCUGCGGGUAGGGUAGGACUCCAUGGGCUCGGAGGAGGAGCUGAUGGGGAGGAGUCCCAUGUCUGUCUUUGUCUGUUUUCCUUUCUCUCGUUUUUUCCCUUUUCAAUUCCUUUUCUUUUCUUUCUUUCUUUUCUUUUUUGUCUGUUUGCUGCUUGAGUGAUGAGUCUGGGUGCCUCUUGGGUGAGGCUUUUAGCUCCCUGCUGGUUGUGGGAAGGGGAGAGACAGACAGUCCUGGUCCGGGAGGAGUCUGGCUAGCCUCCCCUGUGCUGUUCAGCACAGGAAGGAACCUUGGAAAGAGAAAGGGGGCACUCUAAGAUAAGGAGACCCAGUAUGGAGGUCCAUAGCCCCAGCUUCCUCUAGUCACUGGAGAAUGGGCUGCACCCAGUCAGUUACAAAGACUUUGCCCAGGACAUGGGGGGUGCCCAGCCAGCACCCCAAUCCAUAUUGCAUAGCCACGGAGGGAUCCUCAGGGCCCAGUGCCCAGUAUAACCUGUCCAUUCUUCACCUCUUGUCACAGACAGUCCUGGAGGAGGGUCUACAACCAGCAACAGCACUGUAUGGCCUUCCUUGGGACAGUCUAGAAUCAGGAAGCCCUUGACUGCAGUGGGGUGGGGCACAGUUGAUUAUUUAUUCUGCAUCCUGGCCUGCGGUGCUCGGCCCCAGAGACUCACACCACAGGGCUUGAGGCUGGCAAAGCAAGACCAAAGUGCCAGCGGUAGCUUAUGUCUUCACGGGGCCUUGCUCGGUGUCCAGAGUGAGUGAGAGAGGCUCCAGGGUUUUGUCCAUGACGGCCUUGCCAUUUCAGGACCCAAGCUUACAAAGAACGACCUUAUCUGAGCUUAGGCACAUCCCUGGUCUUGUCUCUCUGUGCCUUCACAGAGGGGCUGGAGAUUCAGCCUGUGCCUCUCGGGGCGGGGAAAGAGGGGAAUCAUAAACAUGAGCAGCUAGACUCCCCUUCAGAGUUCCUCAGGUAGGGAGGAACAGGCAAACAUAAGAAGGGUACAGGGUUGCGGGCGUUGUGCCAGUUGUCUUGAGGACAUACACGGUGGCUGCAGCCAGUACGGAGCCAGCUUGGGUCUCAGGGUACCCUCUACAAGCCCCCUUGUCUCUACCAGCUUUGAUUUCCACAUGUCAUGUGGGCCAUAUGCUCUCUUGGUGGCCUAGGCAGCUCUUAGGCGAACCUGUGCCUGGCUCAGUGCUAGGCGCUCAGUAGAUGUGCCAUACAGUUCUGUUUCAGUGGGAGUGUAGGGAGUUUAGGUGAGGGUUCAUCUGGGUUGGGUACAGUCUGAUCCACGGGCGUUUCUGGCUGGGCCACUCAGAGUGGUCUGCCUUGCCGACCAGUCUGGGGGCAGCGGCCACCUUUGGUUUCUGUUGUAGUUUGCGGCUUUUCCAGAAGGAGAUGAACCUUGUUUCCUGCUAGACCAUGGAUCCCAGCAGGGUUCUUUUAUUUGUGUAGCCAUCUUGGGAAAUACAGGUGCUGUCCAGCCGCAUCUCAGACACUUUGCAACUUUGUAGUCAUCGGCCAGAAACCGUGUCCAGGAAGAAUUAGCCAAUAGGCAGUCAAGAGAGGCCAGCUCUGGCAGGAGGGAGGGAGAGGCUUCGUAGUCAGGCUGACCCCUGCAGGAGCUUUGAAGGAUGAGAAAGGCGUGGCUUGCCUGAGUGGUUUUGGAAAGAAACUAAAGCAAAAUUCAAAUAGGUCAAAUACAGGGUAGGACUUUUUAGAGCCUCAAAGUGCUAACGAGCACCUCAGACACUCAGGCUGGGAUGGAAGGGUGAGACAUCAUCUGUCUUUGCUGGCUACAGAAUUAUUUUCUUACCCAACAUCUAGAAUGUUGGGAGACACAGCAUUGGGCUUUAGAAGUGUACUCAGGUGUCCCGUUGUCCUUGUCGCCUGGGAGGAAAGAGAAGCUGGAGGGGGUGGGGCUUGGGGGAGUCCCAGCUUUGUCUUCGGAGUCAGGUCAGUUCCUUGCAGUUCCUUCUUUGUAGAGGAGGGCAGGGUAGGCCAUUGGUGGGAGCAGCUAGAGACGGGGAGCUAGUGAUGGAAGAGAUGUUCAUUUUCAAAGGCAGCAGCUCUGGGGGGUGAGAUGCUGGUGUGUGUGUGUGUGUGUGUGUGUGUGUGUGUGUGUGUGUGCACGCUAGUGCUCACACACAAGCAUGUGAGGAGAUCCUUCUGGGAAGAGACUGGCCACAACUUGGCAGGGGGUUUGCACUGAGGACAAGCUGGGUACAUUUUUUUUUUUUUUUUUUUAGCAGAUCUGAAGUGUCUGUGGAGCUCUGAGACCCACAGCCUAGAAAUGGAAGCUCUGGGCUUCCAGCAUGGGGUUACUGAGGUCAGGCCUGGUUCCUACGGUGGGUGCUGAUGGGGGGUAUAGAGGCAGACCCCCUGCCCUGGUCAGGCUCCAUACCCAGGCUGGUGGGGACAGGAGGCCUGUGGUGGGUCAGGGGUGGGGGGGGCGUUGAGAGGGGAAGGCUGCAUGGUGUGAUUAACCUACUAACCAACCCAGGGCUCGGCCAGGACGCUGUGGCACGCGACGAGAUGCCUGGCCUUCUGUCAACCGACUAAUCCACUAACCUGGCCCGAGCAUGACCUACUAACCCCGAAGCAGCCAAACCCUACUAACUCUGCAGGCCAGGGGCCUUCCCGGAGGCUGGUACGCGGACAAGGCUCAGGAAGGCCCUGCCUGGGGGCUGGGAUCUAUGUGCAGACCCAUCCUGCAGGACAGGACAUGCUAGGAGACUCACCAACUCUGCCGCCCCCUGCUGGCGGAACGGGACCCUUCUACUUCCCUUGAUGCCCGUGGUGAGGUGACUGAGGUGUUGCCGCAUGGCAGGGACUUCAAAAUGGAGUAAGACACACUGAGGGCGGGCCUCGGGGGACUCGGUGGUACGUCCAUUCUCUGAUCUCGGGUGUUCUGCACACAGACCCUUCUACCUGGGGCAGACACGUGCUUUGAAUCCUUAACGUCUCUUCCCUUUCUCCCCUCUUGCCGGCUUUCUCUCCCGUAGGCAGCUCUUUUGAUUACUAAUUGUCUAACCCCGGGGCACCCCACUCUGCACCCCGCCGCCCCUUAACUAACGGCCCUCCCGCUGCCUUCUUCUCUCUAGUGGCUCCUGUGUGUGUCUGCUGGUGCUGUGCUCUGACCUACUAACCCGGCCCUACUAACUGGUUUCUCUUCUUACUAACCCAGCCCUGCCGAGCUCUGGGCCUCCUGGGGGCUGGUCCCUCCUUUUGGCAAGCAGAUGUCCCCAGGCUGUCCAGGCCAGAUCUGAGCCAGGGGGCAGCCGUAUUUAGUGACGCCCAGAGGAGGAGGAGGAGGAGGCUGUCCUGUGGACGUGGGACGCUGGGCUCCGAGCAUGACCUCUCUCCUCUGUGCACAAGUCUGGUUGCCACCAGGAGUGGAUGGGACCAGGGGACCUUGUGGGAACCAUUGUGGUGCCCGUGGCUCUAGAAUUGGCAAUUCUGGGCCCUACCUAGCUGGGGCCCUCUGUGAUUUAGGGCAGGGAGAGAGGGGUAAGAACAUCAGGGGCUGGCCAUCUGGUACAGGAGCUCAAAGGUGUGUGUUGGAACCCGAAGCCCUACCUGGAAGCUAUAAACAAGUUUCCUAAGCCGGCAGCAUGUGAGGGGCCAUUUCCUGGAAACACCACAGUGCAGAGUCGGGCGUUUCCCAGUGAAGCCCGAGGAGAGGGCAUCAGGAAGUCUGUAAGAGGGCUUUUCUCUCAGCCUGAGAAGAGAUGGCCAAUGGCCAGUAAGAACGUUCUCCACAUAGGCAGUCAACUAGCCAGGCCUUUUCCACUGAGAGAGGCGGAAAUCUCAAACUGGAAGUCUAUUUCGGACCAUUUUCACACAGGAAGUAGGUGUCAGGAUAUUUUUUCCCCUUAGGAAGUGUUUAGAGACACUCUCUCCACACUUAGAGAGGACGGGCUGCCAGUUGUCAAGAUGCACAGUCCGGGAAGUGUCUCUACGGGCCCUUAGGGCUUAUGGGAGGGGCAAAUGGGUGCCAGGAAGUGAAUCCUAGAGGCCCACAGGCCCAUGGGAAGUCACCCCAGCUCCUUGUCCGGUUUAUAUCCAUGCCUCUGCCCCAGCCAGCCUCCCCCAGAGCCCGCCAGCUGCUAAGCCAGGGCCACACCUGGGGGUGAUUUCAUGCCUCACCUCCAGUAGGCUCAUGGCCUCUCUGGGCUAACCUCUGGCUCUUUUGCACUAACUCUAGCUCUCCCCCAGCUAAUCCCUGCCUCUCCCUGGCUGCCCCAGGGGCUGACCACUAGCAGCCAGCCCCGCCCACCCGCGGGGCUCCAGGCUCCUGGCCUGGCGGCUCCUUUGAACCAACCACCCUUUCCUCUGGACUAAUGUAUGCCUUUCUGGUCUGUUCCUUCCGGCAGAAAUGAAUGGCUGUGGAUUUCUCUCUGACUAACAGGUCUCACACUCCUCUCCCUGUUACCACUAACGGCUUGGAUGAUGGCGGCGUGGCUGGCGAGGGAUGGGCGGAGGUGCUGAGCUUGGUUGCUAUGGGGAGGAUGUAGAGAGUGAGAGUAGACACGUGACCGGUCCGGGUCAGAGCUUUCAAAUGUCAAUUAAAGUGGUAACCGGGCUGGGGUGUGGCUCAGCCCAGAAGAAAGGAUACUGUCUACUGAGCAUUUUGGUGGGACCACACAUACAGCCAACCUUCUAUGGGUGUGGCCACCGGCUCCAUCCAUAUAGCCUUACAAUCUGCAGUGGCCGCUAGUUCCUGUAAACUACAGUGUCAGUUCUUGCAAGCAGUUCUUAGCUCAUAUAGGAGCCUAAGACACCUGUCUGGUGGGCCCAAUUUGUUACUUAUGGACUUGUUGAGCACAAGGUCAUGGCCUCCCUGGAGUCCUAGUUUAGGAGACUUACAGAGUUUUGGCCCUAUGACGACAUCAGACUCCAGAUAGAAAUAUCCAGAAGGGCUGUACAUUCUCCAUCGCUUACACCCUAGAGUAAAAUAACUCGACCUUUCCCUCCAAGUCUUUUAAAGAAGCUCUUUUACACAGGGUAGGCGUGCAGAGGGCAGGGAGUAUGGCUGGCAGGGAGUUAGGAAUCUUUAAGGCAAGGGGAAGUCCUCUGGAAGUAGGGACAGAAAGCCAUGAGGCCAAAGGGCCCUUGUGGAGCUGAGGGUGACACCAGGUUGAAGUGGGCAAGAGAAGAGAGCUUGUUUCACUGAGUGGUCUGGAAGCCAGAGCCUAGAAGGCUGGAGGCUCAGGGACAGGCUGCCUGAUCAAUGGGUGCUGUGAGAACUGCUUACCCACGGGGCUUAGGACUGACUGUAGAGAUGCCAGAGAGCCUAAGGAGGGACCUGAGCCACGGAGGAAGUGGAGAGACCACGGAGGCAAUGGAGAGACCCCGUAGGAACGUGGGUUUACCGGCCAGGUACGGCUAGUACGUACUCGCUGCUGCCCUCUCAUGGCCAAUCCGCCACAUUUUACAAACAAUGCCCAAAGAAAGGCUGCACAGGGGGCUCUGCUCCGGAAAUUGAGUGUGGGCAGAAGCUUGAUCGCAGAAGGCGUGACAGGGUCCCAGUUUGGGAUAGUAGCUGGUCCUCGGUGGCUGUAAUUAUGUGUGAUGGGCCCGGGACACUGAAGAGGGCAGGGAUCAGGAGAGCUAAGACGAGGUAGGCAGGGAGGGCUCGCUGAAGGGGAAUCAUGCCAGAUAAACCUUGACAGUCAGGGAGGGCGUGGCUGGAACAAGCCGCACUCGAUUUAGGAUUAGAGAGCACCCAAAGAUUCCUGGGGAGGUGUAUCAAGUGAGACGUUCAGGAGGUGGCAAGCUCCAGGCCUCAUUGGCUGUAAAAGACAGACUUCAUUCCUUGGGAUGCCAGACGUAGUCUGUAAUUGUAACCCCAGCACUUGCACAUUAGAGACAGAUCUCUGGGGUCUACCUGCCUGCCAGCCAGCCAGCCUAGCUAGUAUCAUAUGGUCUGAGAGAGAAGGUGGCAGGGCCCGAGUUCUCAGGCUACUUUGGUCGAGCCAGCCUAGGUGGGGCAGGGAGGAGCUUGCCAUGUGCGCUGGCCACGUUAUAGAAACCACCAGAACUUCUGGUCGCUGGGAAAGACACUUCGGUCCAUCUGGAGAGGAGCGGGGUUCAUAGUGCUCCACCCUUCCCUGGGGAUCGUGAGAGAUCCCCGGAAAGUGAGGGACCGAGGGGACAAAGAGGAACUUGAAACUUAACACAGGCCCCGGUGGUGUGCGCCUCCUCCAGAAGAUCUGGAGGUAGGUGGUGUUGGCGGUGAUGGUGGUGUGCAUGAGAGAGCGAGAGAGACGGUAGAGAAAAAAGAGAGGCUAUAACUCGAGAAAACUGAGUCCCCGAGGCUCGUUCUAAUCGCCUGCAUCUGGGCUGCCCCUGCCCCCUAAUUCCAUUCAACUUUAGGCUUGUUUUGAGCAGGACCCUGUGGGUGCGGGAUUGGCCUCCUGUCUAAAGAGGUCAUAGCCUGCUUGGAGGGAGGAGCCUCGGUGGCUCCUCCCCGAGGGUGGGACUGGAGACAGCGAGGAAAACCUGGUGGUGUCCACAGGUUGGGAGCUCUGGUGCAGCCACUCUGGAAUCUGUCUAGGGAACCCAUUGUUUUAUAACCAUCUCAGCAAAGAUGUCUGUUCCAUGUUGUUCCUGCUGGGGGAAGCUGAGUGUGGGGCCCUGGAAUCCGGAUGUAGAUUAAAAGAUGUAGAUGCUUCCAUGGGUCCAGCCACAGUUACAGCGUCUUUUGGUUUUUAUGCUUGUAGCUGCCUCUGUGUAAGAUGCCGUUUUGAUAUUAAAACCGACCCACACUGGA
ensembl:lincRNA